UCCUGCGCCACCCCGGCUCGCAGCGAGCCCGCGGCGACAUCGGCGGCGAUGUGCGGUGUGGAGCGGCGGCGCGCAUGGGCGCCGCCAUGACAAAUGUCAUGGCGUUGACUUACUUGUGGCGUUGCGUAAACAAUGGCGCCCAACUACAGCGACGCAGGGAUAAUGGCGCCUGCCGGCGGUGGCGCAGAAAAAAUGGCGGCCCCCUGCCUCGGCGCAGCGGUUGGAGAAAUGGCGCCAAUUUGGCGGGAGGCGCGGCGUCGGCCAAAUCUCGACGGUCGCGCACCCCAUUGCCCGCCGCGUGUGUGCGCACGCCCACCUCAGCGCGACGGCGAGCUGCGUCACCGACCGCUGGAGCAGCUCCAGCUGGGCAGCUACGUCGCGCCACACGUCGGAUGGCGGCGCCGCAGCUCUCCCAGCUGCCGCCUCCUCCGGCUCUAGCCGGGCCACCUCCACGGGGCACAUUUCCGGGGCCCCGAUCUCCGGGAUCUCUGACAGGCAUGCGGCAGCAUCGUCCUCUUCGUUCGUCUGUACACCAGGCGCGGUCUUCCGUCUCGCACCGGACUUCGACAUGGUCGCGAGCACAGAAGUCACUUCCGACACCGGUUGUUGAGGUGUGUAGAACGACACGAAGGCAGACUUGUAGGGGCUAUCGCCAACGGUUUAUUAUGGGCUUUCGCCUAGCUUUGGAAAGGGCUAACACAAGUUGCCGGCUAAGCUAAAUCUCCCCAGGGGAAAAGGUACUGGGAAUUCCCUACGCCUCCCAGGCUAACGGGCUCUUCACCACACAGUGCUGACCAAUGGUUCAGCCAACUCGGCCAGCCGGGUGAAGUAGCCCCCUAGCCUGGUGCUAUUUCCUCCUUACCCUGGGUUCCUACUUCCCCACCGCUCACCUUCCCGGCUCUGAGCGAAGGCCCCGUCUACGUCACCGGUCCCCCCUCAAAUACCCCGGGGGGACAUGACGUCACCUUCCCCGAAGCUCCCCUCAUGUCACUUCCUCUGACGUCACUACCCCCGAGGCGAGUGUGACAUCACGUCAUCACUCUACUCCUCAACACAUGCACACAAAGGCAAAGAUGGAGUCGGCUUGUCUACACACACACAGUACGGACAGUAAAUAACUCAUGACAAACUUAAAAUUAAGAAAACUAGCAACAGAAAAAUGGCGAAAAGAUAGUUCUAAGCAUCGAAAACAAACAAUUACGUAAUUCUACAUCAGGAAAAUAAUUACGUAAUAGUGAAGCUCGGUGAAAGCGGCGUUUUUGUGAAGCGAGGCGAAAGGCGGGGCUCCCUUACGCUUCGCGGUAUUCAUCCGCAACCUUACCGCGUUGCACUAUUUGCGCAUACGUAACUAAAGCAGACAUUUCCGUAUAUUGACUUUUUUUUACAUGAUUCAUGGGGAACAUUUCCCUAAAUUCGGAUUUCCCUAAAUUCGGAUUUACAUAAGUGUCGGGUCUUCCGUAACCUGGGGACUGCCCGUAGUUUUUUAUUUAGAUAGAAUAGAAAUUGAAAUAAAAAAGCAGAAUCGCGUUUAAUUUUAACUCAGUGCGGUUUCACUUUGAUGACUUUUCUUCCCAAUUAUAGUGAAAAUUGGUGAACACCAACCUCUACCCUUCCAAUCAAUAAAUAGUAACUUGUUUAAAAUUCAUGUCAAUUAAGACUUAAGUAAGUUGUAACUUCGCGACCUUCUGGUAAAAGCAACCUGCUCACAUUUUCUGCGAAAAUUUGUGAACACCGACCCUGUCCUUCGGGUUUAAAAAUGGUUUGAAAAAUUGUAUUUACAUCAAUACAGAAUUCAGUAAGUCGAUACUUAGGAUAAUUAAUUCAUCCCUACAACAAUUGCACAUUUGCACAAAUAUAAGUGGAGAACCAGUGUUUAUAUAUUUUUCAUUCACUCUCACAUGGUAAAAAUACACUUAAGGAAUUUCUAAAUAAACUCAAUUCACAAAGCCCGGCCAUCCAAUUCACCAUGGAAGUGGAUAACACUAUCUCCUUUCCGGAUCUUUUGCUCGGACACGGCCCAAACGGUAAAAUAACGCGGAGCGUUUACCGAAAGCAAACGCACACUGACACCUGUCUGAAUGCAGAUUCACAUCAUCACCCCACACAGAAAUCCUCUCUCAUCAAGAUGCUUAUAAGUCAGGCUAAAACAGUGUCAGAUGGUGAAAGUCUGAGGAGCAAGAUUAAACAUGUUAAAGAAGCUCUACAAUUAAAUUAUUACAAUAAUGCUCAAAUUAACAGCAUUGAAUACCAAACCCAGUUCGAACAGCAAUAAUACUGAAAGCGAUCAUGAUAUUAAAACAAUGAAAAUACCAUACAUUGCGGGAGUAACUGACAAACUAGCUAGAGUCUUGGAAAAACCCAAAAAAUCUGUGAGAUUUGGCACGGUACACAAUAAAAAUAGUAUCUUGUACUAAAGAGGUGUGUACCGGAUUAAUUGCUCAUGUGGUAUAUGCUACGUUGCACAGAUGCUACAUUGCACAGACGAUACGAAACCUUAGCGUCAGACUAAAAGAACACUAAAUAUUAAAUACUCAGAAACACAACAGUCAGCAGUUGCAGAACGUGCUUGCCAACGAUGAAAUUUAAUUUAUUUUGAUAACGUAGAAGUAUUGUGUAAAACUAAUUAUUCCUGGCCCGAGACUAAUUCGGGAAUCUAUUGAAAUUGAGAGAAAUACAAAUAACUUUAACCGCUCUGACAGCUACAGGCUUAUUGCGGACUGGAAGCGUAUUAUUAAGUAAAACACCUUACAAUUGUAUGCCUUGUAAAGGCAUCGCAUUCUAAUUAACGGUGAUUAACAAACUUGUUAUGUAAUUACAAUAACCCCCCCCCCCUGCUCUCCGCACCUGUUUGACGCACGGUAAUGACGUCAUCCUACUCUGUUUAAGACCAGAAGCAGGUAGAUAGCUUCACUUUUCUGGCAAAUCGACGAAUGAUGCUGGAUGUAAUUACCAGCGAAAACUCGUACUCUAAUUGUAAAUGUUGUGGAUUUACUUUCCAAAACACUGAUGGGCUGAAGUAGUAUACUAAUUGGCACGUUUUGUUUACGUAACAAACCUUACUGGUUGGCUGUGUCGGGUGGUGGCGGCGGGUUACGACACAUUUAUACUUACGCCACUUUUAUAAUAAUGGUCACAAAAGCCUACGUGUCAAACUACGUUCAUUCCAUCACAGAUUUCAUUUGGAUGAAUCCAGAAGAGUCUGCAGACGAAAGAAGACGUCGAUUAAACAGAGAAAGACAGCAGAGAUGGCGUGAUCGACAAAGUCAAGAGAAAUUGGAUCGUUUACGACGUGAAAAGGCUGAAAGAAUGUCCCAGCAACGAGCUCUGAAACUGCUGAAAUAUCACAUGACAAGCGAAAGGCAGAGUCAAGCUAUCCUUGAUGAAGCCAAAAGUUUAGAUGAAUUGACAAUCAAUGUAGUCGAUUAAACAGAGAAAGAUAGCAGAGAUGGCGUAAUCGACAAAGUCAAGAAACACUGGAUUGUUUACGACGUGAACAUACCGAAUGGCACACGUCUGGUGAUUCGUGAAAUACACCGUAGUUUUGUUGUGGCUGAAAUCAUUUCAGAAUCCUAUCGUGGGAAUGUUGUUUUAAUUCCCAGCAAUUGAUCUGGCACCGUCUGAUGUGAAUUUACCAGUUAUUUUGAAGCGAAGACGGCUUCCCAUCAUCCCUGCAUUUGCUAUCACUCUCAAUAAGUCACAAGAACAAACUUUAUCUCAACGAACCUGUUUUUUUUCCCAUGGACAACUUUAUGUUGUUGCUUUGUCAAGAUGCAAAAAUCCAACCAACGUCAAAGUUCCCAUUCAACAAAAUGUAUCUCAAGGAAAACUUUUCCUUGAGAUGCAAUUUAAAUGUUUUUCAUUAAAUGUAAUUUCAUGAACCUACAUAUGACGGGCAAUUACACUAGUUAUUCGCAUAAUGCACAAUGGUAAUACCAUGAUACGUAAGAAAAUACAUGCAAAUGAUAUCAAGUGGUAUAUUUAUUGAUAAUGCGUGCAUAAUAAAAUGAGCACGUCAGUGGAAAUGAUGGCUGUUCAAUUCUCUCCGUGCAAAUGCCAAUAUGUUCAGGAGCUAUAAUGCCAAUGUUGAGGUCUGUUAGUCCAUGAUGAGAGGACUUCCGGAGAGAGUGUGCGUGUGUAGUUUUUGCUAUUCCUCCUCCGUUGAAGAGUGGAGACUACAGUGGUUUGCUCGUGCUCCAUAGUUCGUGGCACUGGAGUCUGCGGCGCUCCUUUGACGAACGAAUAGCAUUAUUGUCGCGUCAGAGGAGGCACGCGCAAUUCCUGGCGUAUUUAUUAAAUUUGUACAUUUGUGGAGACCGUUAACAAAAAAAAAUAUUGCAGUGUUAACACCAUGCGUAUUUUGCACGAAAAAAAUCAACUUUGGUGCACUAAAUUGUAAACUUAAGGCUUGUCUCGUGUAAUGGGUGUUCAUUUCUACGAGAAUUCACUAUCACAAGCAAAGGUAAUUUUAGACCCAUUUUCUUUCUUCCCAAAACGAGCAAAAUGUUCGAUUGGCGAACGGAGACCGACCGAUAAUGCCGUGCAGCGGCGACCCGCAGCUGUUUUGUUUACCAGCUGUGCCAUUUCGUUUGCCAGCUGUGCUGUGCAAUGUGCCCCAUGUGCUUUGUCCAGUGAAAAGAAAAACUUUUGUUUGCAUUUCCUUCACUGCUUAUCGCUCCAUCCCUCCACCAUGAAUUCCAAGAGGCCAGCAAGUCGACCGAGUAGCAGUGGUGCUCCAAAAGCGAAGAGGAAGGCCAUUACACUCCAUCUUCAAAACUCACACUGCCUCCAGUCGCAUGAUUUCAUUUGGAUGAAUCCAGAAGAGUCUGCAGACGAAAGAAGACGUCGAUUAAACAGAGAAAGAAAGCAAAGAUGGCGUAAUCGACAAAGUCAAGAGACAUUGGAUCGUUUACGACGUGAAAACACUGAAAGAAUGUCCCAGCGACGAGCUCUGCAAACUGCUGAAAUGUCACAAGCAAGACGAGCGACUGCUGCAGAAGCACGUCGUGAAGCUCGCAAAAGGCAGAGUCAAGCUAUCCUUGAUGAAGCCAAAAGUUUAGAUGAAUUGACAAUCAAUGUAGUCGAUUAAACAAAUAAAGAUAGCAGAGAUGGCGUAAUCGACAAAGUCAAGAAACACUGGAUUGUUUACGACGUGACCAUAACGAAUGGCACAUGUCUGGUGAUUCGUGAAAUGCACCGUAGUUUUGUUGUGGCUGAAAUCAUUUCAGAAUCCAAUCGUGGGAAUGUUGUGUUCAUUCCCAGCAAUUGUAUUGGCACGUCUGAUGUGAAUUUACCAGUUAUUUUGAAGCGAAGACGGCUUCCCAUCAUCCCUGCAUUUGCUAUCACUCUCAAUAAGUCACAAGGACAAACUUUACCUCAACGAACCUGUUUUUUUCCCAUGGACAACUUUAUGUUGUUGCUUUGUAAAGAUGCAAAAAUUCAACCAAUGUCACAGUGCUGAUUCAACAAAAUUUAUCUCAAGGAAAACUUUUCCUUGAAAUGAAAUUUUUGUCUUUUUCAUGAAAUGUAAUUUCAUGAAUCUGUCAUAUGACGGGCUAUUACACUAGUUAUUCACAUAAUGCACAAUGGUAAUACCAUGGUACGUAAGAAAAAACAUGCAAAUGAUAUAAAUUGAUACAUUUCUUGAUAAUGCGUGCGUAACAAAAUGAGCACAUCAGUGGCAAUGAUGGCUGUUCAAUUCUCAGCAUGCAUAUGGCAAUAUGUUCAGGAACUAUAAUGCCCAUUUUGAGGUCUGUUAGUCCAUGAUGAGAGAACUUCAGGAGAGAGUGUGUGCGUGUGCAGUUUUUUCUAUUCCUCCUCCGUUGAAGAGUGGACUACAGUGGUUUGCUCGUGUUCCAUGGAUCGUGGUAAACCACUGGAGUAUGCGGCGCUCCUUCGACGGACGAAUAGCAUUAUGGUCACAUUACAGGAGGCGUGCGCAAUUCCUGGCAUAUUUAUUCACUUUGUACGUUUGUGGAGACCAUUAAAAAAUAUAUAUUGUGAUGUUAACACCAUGCGUGUUUUGGACGAAAAAAAUCAACUUGGUGCACUACAUUGUAAACUAAAGGCUUGUCUCGUUUAACGUGUGUUCAUUCUACGAUAAUUCGCUAUCACAAGCAAAGUAAAUUUUAAACCCAUUCUUUUCUUCCCAAAACGAGCAAAAUGUUCGAUUGACGAGCGGAGACCGACCGAUAAUGCUGUCCAAUCGGCGGCCCGCAGCUGUUUUGUUUACCAGUUGUGCUGUGCAGUGUGCCCCAUGUGCUUUGUCCAGUAAAAAAAAAACUUUUCUUUGCAAUUUCUUCGCUGCUUAUCGCUCCAACCCAUCCACCAUGAAUUUCAAGAGGCCAGCAAGUCGACAAAGUAGCAUUGGCGCUCGAAAAGCGAAGAGAAAGGCCAUUACACUCGAGAUGAAGAAAUACAUAAGGCAAUACGAAGGUGGAGAAUCGGUCCGCGGCAUCAGCAAAUCUCUGGGCCUGGCCACGUCAACUGGUUGUGGUACAUGUGUCGAACGAUGUAGCAGAUCUUCGCAAUCACGCAUAAGGAUGUGCAAACAAUACGAGAGUUCUGGCGCUCUUACAUCAUGGACGCCAUUGACAACAUCAAUGAGGCGUGGAAUGAAGUGGCACAGACAACAUUGAAUGCAUGCUGGGGAAAACUGUAAAAAAUGCAAGCGUGAUCUAACCGGUCUUCAGGAGCCAGUUAAUGAUAUCCAUAGGAUCGUCGAACUUGCCAGGGAUGCUGGAUUUCACGAAGUGGAGCAGGCUGAUGUGGUGGAAGUGUUGGAGUCUCAUGGUGAAGAAAAAACAAAUGAGGAAUUUAUUCAGCUGAGGAAAGGAUUAGUUUCAGUCGAGAAGGAUGAUGGCGCUCAAGCUACACAAACACCCACCCCAACGUUUAUCCUACGAAAGUUGGCCAAAGCUAACAUAAGAAUUGAAGGACUCGUCAUCUAUGCCCGGAACGAUCCGAAACAAGAAAGCAGUAAAGUGAAUCGCGUGAUACGCGAGGCGAUGUCAUGUUACACCCAGCUGUAUCUUGAGAAACAGAGGCAAGCUUCAGAGUCGAAGAUUAAUAGGUUUUUCACCACUUCGACCUCCGUAAGAUCAACUCUAACUGUAACCUAACACCAUCCCCUAGUGGAAUGCCAUUGUCCAAACGAUAAGAUUCGUCAGAAGAAUCUUCGGAGGAAGAGGCUGACGAUCCUGCCUCUCCUGCCACCCACUAACAUCCUUCUCAUCAACCCAUCCCAUCUCAUAGCAUUACUAUUCUGCUGUACAAAUUGCUAAUUCUUUGUUAAGUGCCUUGGUUAAGGCGCUAUGUAAAUUAAAACAAGAUAGGAACAUCUACCCUUAAAAUAAAAAAAAAUUCCAGGUCCCUUGCAAGAGCUGUGGUUCUUAAUGCAUUGUGUUAUGCUGAUGUUAUACUACCUUGUUAUGACGUUUAAGUGUAUUUCUCGCGUUAAAAAAAAUAGUUGUUCAAGAGUGUGGAGUAUUUUUGGAGGCCAGAACAUACAUCUCUGCUUUUAACGCGGGAAGAGUCGAUGAGAAAAUGACGGUCGUUUCAACCGAGAUUUCUGUUACCAAACAAUUUUCCUGGAACGUAUCUCCCGCUCAUCAAUCGAGACAUGGCUUGCGUUGAAUUAUAUUGACUGUGGUGUUUUAGCUGUUAAAAAAAACACACACAAUUGCAUCCUCAUAGAUGGGCUGCUUAACAACAAACAACCCACACACAAUGUUAACUUCGUGGGAAAAUGGAGAAAACGAUAAGUGUGGUGAUUUUUUGUUUGGUUUCGUGUUAUCAUUGGGGACAUUAACUGUUUCCAAGUUUCCAUUCAUGAAUACGCCGUGGUGAUGACGUUGUAAUGUGUAAACUUUGGUGGUUCCAAUGUUUGUUGCAGAAAGCUUAUUUUGGUUUAAAAAUACGUUUUUGUAUUAAAAACGCUGGUCACCCUA